rnacentral:rRNA from 1 species
GACAGAGGAUGCAAGCGUUGUCCGGAAUUAUUGGGCGUAAAGAGCUUGUAGGCGGUUUGUCGCGUCUGCCGUGAAAUUUCGAGGCUCAACCUCGAACUUGCGGUGGGUACGGGCAGACUAGAGUGUGGUAGGGGAGACUGGAAUUCCUGGUGUAGCGGUGAAAUGCGCAGAUAUCAGGAGGAACACCAGUGGCGAAGGCGGCUUUCUGGACGAUAACUGACGCUGAGACGCGAAAGCGUGGGGAGCAAACAGG